GCCAGCUUCAGGUUCUGAGAUCUUUUAAAAGUACCAGUAUUUUGUGAACUAAUUUUCAUAGGAAACUAGAGAGAGACCCAAAGUCAGCUGGACUGUCUGAGUUCUUUAGACCAGAGCCUCUCAAGUUUUAAUGUGCAUGCAGGUCAGAUGGAGAUCCUAGGAAAAAUGUAGAUUGUGAUUCAGUAAGUAUAGAUUAGGCCCAAGAUCCAGAGUGCUAGAAAACAUCCAGAGGAUUCCUGUGCAAAGUUGUGCUUCCACCCAAGACCAGUGUCAUCAAAAUUCCCAAGCUGGUUCACACAGGAAAAUUUAAGGAGCACUGUGUUAUAUUCUGAUCCCUGGAGAAUGGAUGUCAGUUUAAAGAGCAGGACAAAAUUAAUUCUUUCCAUUUCAUAUAUGACCAUAAAAUAAGACCAAAAAAAAUCCCAGUGGAUAGUUCUUUUUCCUCCCCCUUAUAAAAGUACUUCCUCUCUUUUCACUUUUAAAAGAAAACUACUAAUAAAAUGAAUCAGGCAUAGGAUGUUAGUGUUUCCUGUGACAUUAUUACAUUAAUAAUUACCAGUGCUUGAAAUUGUCUCUGAGUGAUUAUUGACAUUAUUUCAACUGAAAUGGUCACAGUCAGAAAAGUUCUCUUAUCAUCUCCCAUUUGUAGUUUCUACCAAGUCAUCCUAACACAAGUGAUGAUCCAGAGUAUAGACGUGUUAUUCUUAGCUACCUCUACUCAUCUGAAGUGCUUAGUUCAUUACUCACUAUCCAGAGAAGUAAAAAAUUGUCGUGCUGCUUUCUUUCAAAACAUUAAUAAUUUUUAUUAUUUUCACUUUUAUUGGGGAAAUUUUAGAAAUCAUUGAUAAGCAANUUCUCAAACCACUCCCUCUGGCAUUUUGC
rnacentral:lncRNA from 1 species